rnacentral:rRNA from 1 species
AUUGAACGCUGGCGGAAUGCUUUACACAUGCAAGUCGAACGGUAGAGGGGGCAACCCCUCGAGAGUGGCGAACGGGUGAGUAAUAUAUCGGAACGUGCCCAGUCGUGGGGAUAACGUAGCGAAAGUUACGCUAAUACCGCAUACGAUCUACGGAUGAAAGCGGGGGACUCGCAAGAGCCUCGCGCGAUUGGAGCGGCCGAUAUCAGAUUAGGUAGUUGGUGGGGUAAAGGCUCACCAAGCCAACGAUCUGUAGCUGGUCUGAGAGGACGACCAGCCACACUGGAACUGAGACACGGUCCAGACUCCUACGGGAGGCAGCAGUGGGAAUUUUGGACAAUGGACGCAAGUCUGAUCCAGCCAUUCCGCGUGCAGGACGAAGGCCUUCGGGUUGUAAACUGUCUUUUGUACAGAACGAAAAGGUCUCUAUUAAUACUAGGGGCUCAUGACGGUACUGUAAGAAUAAGCACCGGCUAACUACGUG